rnacentral:rRNA from 1 species
CAAGUCGAGCGCUGAUUUCAGGGUAGCAAUAUUCUGGAGUCGGAGCGGCGCAAGGGUGCGUAACACGUGGGUAAUCUGCCAUGAAGUCUGGAAUAACUUGCUGAAAGGCGAGCUAAUGCCGGAUGUGACCAUUGGGAGGCAUCUCCUGAUGUUUAAAGUUGGGGACCGUAAGGCCUGACGCUUCAUGAUGAACCCGCGGCCUAUCAGCUAGUUGGUGAGGUAACGGCUCACCAAGGCUAAGACGGGUAGCUGGUCUGAGAGGACGACCAGCCACACUGGAACUGAGACACGGUCCAGACACCUACGGGUGGCAGCAGUCGAGAAUUUUUCACAAUGGGCGCAAGCCUGAUGGAGCGACGCCGCGUGGGGGAUGAAUGGCUUCGGCCCGUAAACCCCUGUCAUUCGCGAUCAAACCUCGUUAUUUAAAAGAUGACGAGCUGAUAGUAGCGGAAGAGGAAGGGACGGCUAACUCUGUGCCAGCAGCCGCGGUAAUACAGAGGUCCCAAGCGUUGUUCGGAUUCACUGGGCGUAAAGGGUGCGUAGGUGGUGAGGUAAGUCGGAUGUGAAAGCUCGGAGCUCAACUCCGAAAUGGCAUUGGAAACUACCUUGCUCGAGGGUUGGAGGGGGGACUGGAAUUCUCGGUGUAGCAGUGAAAUGCGUAGAUAUCGAGAGGAACACCAGUGGCGAAGGCGAGUCCCUGGACAACUCCUGACACUGAGGCACGAAAGCUAGGGGAGCAAACAGGAUUAGAUACCCUGGUAGUCCUAGCCGUAAACGGUGCACGUUUGCUGUAAAAGGAAUCGACCCCUUUUGUGGCGUAGCCAACGCGUUAAACGUGCCGCCUGGGGAAGUACGGUCGCAAGAUUAAAACUCAAAGAAAUUGACGGGGGCCUGCACAAGCGGUGGA